GUUCUGGGCUUUUCUUUAAGAAAGGUCUCUCCUCUUCGGCUUCCCGUUGGGGAGUGGCCUGGAGUGGAGCUGCACGCCUGAAGCUAGUUGGAUCAUCAGUCGAGAGGAUUUAAGGAGCCAUCGGACCUCUCCUCUCCGCCGGAUGAUUAUCCCUCCACGGAUCUGGCCAACUUCCACCGGUGAAUCUACCUGCAGCUUUCAGAGCCUCACCUGCCUGCCCGCUCCAGUCCACUGCUCGAUCGCAUCCUCCCCCGUCAGAAGCCUUCCAAGAAGACGCGUGACUCGGACCUAUAUCCUCGGAUCACCUGCAGAACCUUCAGGUUGUUUCUUUUUUUUAAAAUAAAAAUAAUAACUCACCAGUUGUUUCCG